rnacentral:rRNA from 1 species
GAAAACCAAGGUGGUAUGGGAUGGACCCGCGUCUGAUUAGCUAGUUGGCGGGGUAAAGGCCCACCAAGGCGACGAUCAGUAGCCGGCCUGAGAGGGUGGACGGCCACAUUGGGACUGAGACACGGCCCAAACUCCUACGGGAGGCAGCAGUGGGGAAUAUUGCACAAUGGGGGAAACCCUGAUGCAGCGACGCCGCGUGAGUGAAGAAGUAAUUCGUUAUGUAAAGCUCUAUCAGCAGGGAAGAAAAUGACGGUACCUGAGUAAGAAGCCCCGGCUAACUACGUGCCAGCAGCCGCGGUAAUACGUAGGGGGCAAGCGUUAUCCGGAUUUACUGGGUGUAAAGGGAGCGUAGACGGCAGUGCAAGUCUGGAGUGAAAGGCGGGGGCUCAACCCCCGGACUGCUCUGGAAACUGUACGGCUGGAGUGCAGGAGAGGUAAGUGGAAUUCCUAGUGUAGCGGUGAAAUGCGUAGAUAUUAGGAGGAACACCAGUGGCGAAGGCGGCUUACUGGACUGUAACUGACGUUGAGGCUCGAAAGCGUGGGGAGCAAACAGGAUUAGAUACCCUGGUAGUCCACGCCGUAAACGAUGAUCACUAGGUGUCGGGGGUUAAAGAACCUUCG